rnacentral:rRNA from 1 species
UACGGGGGGGGCAAGCGUUGUUCGGAAUUACUGGGCGUAAAGGGCUCGUAGGCGGCCAACUAAGUCUGACGUGAAAUCCCCAGGCUCAACCUGGGAACUGCGUCCGAUACUGGAUGGCUUGAAUCCGGGAGAGGGAUGCAGAAUUCCAGGUGUAGCGGUGAAAUGCGUAGAUAUCUGGAGGAAUACCGGUGGCGAAGGCGGCAUCCUGGACCGGCAUUGACGCUGAGGAGCGAAAGCCAGGGGAGCAAACGGG